rnacentral:lncRNA from 1 species
CCAACCUCAUUAGGCCUUAUUUUCCUCCGAGGCAUUGCUCCUGAUAUCUUACAUAAUUUCCUAUAUCAUCAAACAACAUGAAUUAGUGCACACAACAUAAAAUAGUUCAUCAAAGUAUACUAGAACAAAGCCUAGCUCAAACUAGCAAGACUAGUUUUCUCGUCUAAACUCUAUGUGACCAAUUUGAUUCUAAACUUGUUUUGAUUAAACCUUAAACUCUCUAACCUUGCAUUUUAACACAUAGAUGCUCAAUUAUACCAUAAAAAACUCAUUACGCACAGAAGAUGUCCUCAAAACUAGGCUAAACACGUGUAGAUAAUGACACUUAAGUGCAUACGUACACCUAAGAUCAUGACCAGCCCUUAGUACACUUACUCAUAUUGGAAUGAAAUUUAUUUAAUGGAAUUCAUUUAUGUUGUGACAUGAUAAAUCUAGAUUCAAAUAGUUAUCUACUACCACCAAAGUCAGAGGUAGGGCUCUCUUAUAGCGAAAUAGCUGAAACUGAGCAGAUUAGAGGGAUUUCAUCCCAAAGGCCUCCUCAAAGGAAGUCCCGCAAGUAUGGAGGAAGACCUUGACUCAAGAGGGACACCCACAAUGUGAAUUUUUAUAAAUCACUGAGUUUGUUGUAUAUGGAGUUGUAGUUCAAAGGAAGAGCAUAGGGAUCCCGAGGAUUGGGGUCACUACAUCAUGAAAGAUACAGAAGAAGAAAGUAGGGGAACCCACUUCAUAUCUCUCUCACCUCAAGCCUCGCCCAUAGUUUUUACCUUACCCUUAUCAGACAAGGAUUUAGGCCAAGCUCCAAGAUAAAAAAUAACGAUAAGACAAAAACUAUGGGAGAAACCUGGAUUAAAAUUAAGAAUCUGAUCUUUUCUAGCUAUUUUUUUUUUCCAACUAUGACAAAAAAUAUGGAUAAAUAUGUGAUACCAGAUCCAAACGCAACCAUUUAUAGCUAAAGACCUAUUAAAUACAUCAAAGUUAAAUGGUAUUAGAUAAUACUCCAUCCGUUUCAAAAUAAUUGACCCUUUUUGACUUGAUACACUCCUUAAGAAAAAUAUUUAUUAGGAGUUAUUUUACCAAAUUAGCCUUAUUAAUUAUGCUUUGGAAUUAUAAAUUUGAGUAAGUAUCUUUGUUUAGUCAUUUAAUGUUGAGGGUAGUGUUAGAAGAACAUAACAAAAUGCUCUUGAUUUCAUCAAAAGGGACAACUAAAUUAAAACAAAUAUUUUUAGAAAGAAGGCCAACUAAAACGAAACGGAAGGAGUGUACAAGUGGCUAGCUCAGUAAAUUAGGGUAAAACCCAAUGUGACGAAGCUUAAAAAUCAAGGUGUCAGAAUCAUCCCACCCCAAGGUUUGCUCGUUAAGAUAUCAAGACAAGAGAGUCUUUUCAAACUCUCAUUCUUAUCUAAUAAUUGAAGAUGCAGGAAGCCAAACAUAGCCUAACUAAUAUAUGUAAGGCUCGACACAGGAAUGUCAACUCAAAAUAUCGGGCACAAGGCUCGGGGCAAAAGUCAAGGAUGACGACUUAUGCAAAAUAGUCCAAACCUUUGUAUCAAAGCCAUCUCAGGAAGGCAAAAACUUUUACAAAAUAUUUUCUCCGUGCUUGAAAAAUUGCUCUAUGGCCCGAGUGCAGAAGUGUAGACACAUAUGUAUUUAACAAGGGACUCCUAGAUGGAGGUAAUACCUCGUCCUUUGAACUAUGAACAUUUUAGAGAAAAUAAUAGAUGUUAAGGGCACAGAUAAAAGUAAAAUAAUUGACUUGAAGUAAUGGCUUGGGCAUGGUUGUUUUUGCCAAAAAAAAAGUGUUACCAGCUCAAAGGAUUAUUUGCAGAGGCAAUAAGUAAGCUUAAAAUGAUUUAGCAUAGAAUCAAGGGAAGAAAAAAUCUUUAUUAUUAUAAUGUGACCCCUAUGAUGGGGUAAAGGAUUAUAUGAUACAAAAAUUUUAGUAUCCAUUAUACAAUAAAGUGAAAAAGAUAGGACAAAGGAAAAAACGGCCACCAGGUUAUUGGAACAAGACAGGCUUGAGAGUCUACCCACUUUGUGUCUUUUAUAUGGAAGUACCUUAGAUCACAGAGCCCGAGUAGCCUUCGUACCUCUCUAAAAGAGCAUGUGUCUCGAUAUAUGAAACCGUUGAGAACAAUUUUCUUCCACUCCUCUUGAUGAUAGGGAUUGGAACUGCUAAAGAGAGUGGAUACUCAGGGUAGGCCUCCUGCAACAAUGUAUCCUCAUCAACAUGGGGUUCGGAGUAGGUUUCUCCUCAUAUCAGGUUCUCUCGUUGAAGGCUAGUGAGAGUCUCUUUGAGCGUAGAGUCCCUCGCAGUGAUUAGGUACCUCCAAUGCAACUCAUAACCCGAAUAUAAAGGACCAUUGAGAGGGACCAGGAAAGCCUUCGAGGAAAAAAUUCUAUCAUAAAAUAUAGUAACAACGAUGGACAUCUCAAUAUUAAAGGAAGAAAUCAUGAUCGUUGUGGAGAAGGGUGUCCACCGGAAGCAUAUCCCCUUACUUUGCCUAAGGAUUCUUCUAUGGUCCUUACCUCCCUCCUGUUACAAGCCAAAGCA